rnacentral:rRNA from 1 species
UACGUAGGGGGCAAGCGUUGUCCGGAAUUAUUGGGCGUAAAGCGUCCGUAGAUGGUCGUUUCAAGUCUGCUGUCAAAGACCGGGGCUUAACCCCAGAAAGGCGGUGGAAACUGAACAGCUAGAGAGAGGUAGGGGUAGAGGGAAUUCCCAGUGUAGCGGUGAAAUGCGUAGGUAUUGGGAAGAACAUCAGUGGCGAAAGCGCUCUACUGGACCUUAUCUGACAUUGAGGGACGAAAGCUAGGGGAGCGAAUGGG